rnacentral:rRNA from 1 species
GACGAACGCUGGCGGCGUGCUUAACACAUGCAAGUCGAACGGAAAGGCCUGCUUUCCCUUGUGGAUUGCGGGUACUCGAGUGGCGAACGGGUGAGUAACACGUGAGUGAUCUGCCCCCAACUUGGGUAUAAGCCUGGGAAACUGGGUCUAAUUCCCGAUAGGACUGCAGGGUGGUGCCUGUGGUGGAAAACGAUUUUCUAGUGGUUGGGGAUGAGCUCGCGGCCCAUCAGCUUGUUGUUGGGGUAAUGGCCUACCAAGGCGGCGACGGGUAGCCGGCCUGGGAGGGUGGACGGCCACAUUGGGACUGAGAUACGGCCCAGACUCCUACGGGAGGCAGCAGUGGGGAAUAUUGCACAAUGGGCGGAAGCCUGAUGCAGCGACGCCGCGUGGGGGAUGACGGCCUUCGGGUUGUAAACUCCUUUCGACCGCGAGGAAGCCACCUGGUUGGAAGGGUGGUGACGGUAGUGGUAGAAGAAGCACCGGCUAACUACGUG